CAAUAAGUAAAAAUAUAGAUUGCAGAUAAAAAAUGAAAGAACAAAACAAAGUAAAACAGGAAAACUUAAUAUAUUCAACAAGCGAUUUAAGAUAAAUGUAAAAUUUUAUAAACAAAUCAAACUUAAUUUUAUAUGUUUGUGGUUAAUUAAUAAUAAAAGUGUUAAUUCUCUAUGUGUAUGCAUUUCCGUCUGGUAUGACAAAGUUAUUUUAUACAUGUCAAUUGUAGUUAUUCCAAAUAUAAUUAUUGGCAAGCAAAAUAUGUCCAUGCGGAGCAUGGAGUCAAUACUAGUUUAAUAUAAUUUUCUAAUAUUUUAUUCAUAUAGCACUUCUAUUUUUAUAUAAAACAUAAUAUAAUUAUAGAAUUUAUAAAAGUCAGUAUACAAUUUUUAUUUUCUUGUUUUAAAAUAAAAUUUUAGUUAACAUUGAUUUAUAAUAUUAUUAUAUUACCAUGUUAUUUAUAAAAAUUAUUAAAAAUUUAAGUAAGAUUUUGUUAGAUUAUUUCUCAACAGAUUUUGUUAUAAUUAAAAAAAAUCAAAUUUAUAGUUAAUUUAUUAUUAAUGUAAAUAAUCAAAUAUGUCAUAUUAACUAAUUCUUUAUUUGGUCAUACUAUAACUUGUUAAUAGUAGAUAAAAUAGAACUAUAAAUUAAUAGAUUAGAUAUAUUCUCUCGUGCAUUUAUUAUUUUGGUUGUAUAAUGGAAUGCUGAAAAUGAUAUGAUCCUCUAUAUAUUAAAAAUAUUUUUAAAUUGUGAAAGUUUUAGUGUUUUUUUUUUUUUUUUUUUUGUAAACAAUUAAGUUUUAGUGUUGAUGUGUCAACACCACGUCUCUCCUCACGGUCCCUAUUACAUGGACCUACAAAAAAAUCACAUAAAUGCUAUAAUGAAGAGCCACCAGCUAUCAUUUUUAUUGGAUGCACCCAUUUAAUAUAAGACCACUUAUCAUUUUUUAUUGUUAUCAAUUAUCAAUUGUGUGCAAUCCGGUUCAAUCAAGAUUAAAUAAACCGCCCUGUAAAUUGUCCAUUUAUAAUUAGAAUGCUCAUUCUUCUACUUAUUCACGUGAGUGCAUUUAGUCCCUGCCACAAAAGCCAUAAGCUUGAACAUCUCAUCUUUAUAUAUAAAAUACACUUUUAAUCUCUCCUGAGUGUGCCAACAAGGAUGACAGCACAACAAUUAUGUCUCCAGCCGUUCGACACGUGUCCCCUUAUUGAAACGCAAUGUUUUCCGUUUGACCGAGUGGGCUUCGAAAUUGGCUCUAUGUUUAGUUUUGUAUUUAGUCCAGAAAAAACAAACUUUUAUGUUGCUCUGAAGCCCUAAUACGGCGACGAAAGAUGCAGCUGGCUUCUCCCUUACGCUUUGGUCGUAUCGGCGGAUGCGAUGACGUUUCGGAUCCGUAACGGAGACGUUGAGAUUCAUUGGCCUUUAAUCCUGCUGUCUUUAAUCCCAUUCAAUCAGACGCUCACUACGAUCUCUUCGGUUGAGCUUUUUCGUCGGUGAUCCCAUCUAUAAAUAUGUACGUAUAUCGCUUCUGCUAAACGGGCUCUCAAAAUCUCUCGGUUAUCCUUCUUCCUCAUAUGUUCAUCUCUUAUUGCUCAUAUUUCUUAAUGGCUUACUCGAAAGUUUUUUUUUCGAUUGAAAUCCGGGAGGUGUUCUUCUGUUGUCGAGGCGAGGCUGCUGAGUUUCUGGGAGGUUAGGAAUUUCAAGCGUGGUGGGGAGCUCAUGAUCGACGUCAACUAUAAAUGUACAAGAUGAGAGAUUUCCACGCACAUCGUCAUGCUCCGUUCAGAUUGAAACCAGUCAGAGGAAACAAGUUCGUCAAACUAAACCCUGCUCAAAAGCUCCUCCAACUAAAAAAAUUUCCUUGGUAACAUUUUUGUAUGAUUAUUUUGCCAUACUCCUUUCAUGAAUUAGUUUUGUUAUUUCUUGGCUUUUGUACUCAAACUAUCAGUAACUUUUUCUUCCUCAUCUCUCUUUCUGCAGUUUGAUUUAAAAGACAAUGUUUUUGUCAUUCUCACGGGUUUGUUGUUUGAUAAUUGCAUCUUGAACAACAAAGAAAGUGUUAUGUGUUCUGUUUAUUUUUACUUUUUAAUGUGGGGUUUCUACGAUCUUUCAAACCAGGUUGGUGGUUCGGAAUAGACAUGAGAAGCACAGCCAAGAUUAUCGUUGACUCAAGCAAGAAGAAGAUUCAGAGGGGUACUUGAGCAGUUUCCUAUAAAUCUUAUCAAACUCCAAUGAUUGUGCUCUAGAAACAGAGCUCCUCAAACUUGCACCACGAAAUGAAAUCAUCGUAAUCAAUGCUUACACUAUUUUCCAUACUGAUGGGGUCUUGAGAAAGUAUCUCAGAUAUUAGAAACUCUUCAAGAACAUAAUAAACAUUAUAUGCGGUUGAGUAUUUUUUUUUGUUUUUUUUUUUGGAAUACACGGAUAUGUAUUCACAUAAGUUCUCACUUAAUGUCAAUCAAAAAAAAAGAUUAUGUCAUGGUACACGGCUUACUGUGACUUACUUGGUCUCUGUUAUGCUAAAUAUCAAUCAAAAAGAAGAUUAUGUAAUGGUACACGGCUCAUUGUGACUUACUUAGGCGAUCGAAAACAUAAAUUAACUGUUAGGGUCUCUCAUGUUGGUAAAAGACUUCGCCUAUGUAGGCACCACUGUUUUAUCAAACUAUGUUUUUCUAUGACAAUAAACAAGAACUAAGAUCUAAGCUAAAAAAAGAUUUUCCUAUAUUUUCCAAAAUCAAUCUUCACUCAUGGAUAAAAUUAUGUGUGUCUCUCUCACGUGUUAUUGGCAAAACCGGAUUGACAACUAUACAAAAGAAGACUACCUACGAUAUUAUAAAAAAAAGUUUUCAACAAUCUAAAAUCAUAUAAAGGUAAUAAACAAAUGUUUUUAACAUUUAUUUUGAAUAUGUUUCUGAUUUAACUAUUAGCACUGUCACGAAGGAUUAGGCGUCCGAAAGGAUCAUAUCUUCACCCUCGCACUAAAGAACCAACAUCCCAAAAUGACUCUUCUA